CCCCCGAUAAUGAAACGCUGCGUUUUCAAGUGUUUGUGGUGUCUCCAUCUUCGCGUCUCUCCUCCUCAUCGCGCAAGCGAUCUUCCAUCUUCUUCCUUCUGUCGCGAGGUGGUAACAGUAACCGACAUGCUCUCUUAAAUCCCUCCAUUAAUCGACCACUCAAAUCCCUCCAUUAAUCGACCACUCACGAUCCAUAUUCAAUGCGACUCUUGCGACUGGAAAGCGGUGGCAUUCCACUAUAAAAAGAAUAGCCGCUCUUCCUCCACCAUUCAAGUUCGCCUGCUCCGUUUCUGGGACCCAGGAAUGUACGCCGUGGUGGAGAUCUCAUGGGAGUCACAUGCUCCUUCUUGAUUCUCAGUCUGUCAGUGAUCUACUGCUUAGGUUCUGGGAGCAAGAAAUAUGAUGAGCGGAGGCAACCAUAUCGGUGUAUACCUUCUCCUCCUUGAUGCAAAAGUGAUUCCGGCGACUCUCAUCUAAGUCACCGUCCGCUUCAUGGCUGCACCUCUGUCUUCGGUGAAUGCUUCUUUAUUUACAGGUCAAACAACUCCUCAAAGCAUCAGUUGAGGAAACGAGGGGAUUAAAUAUCUCAGAUUACACAUAAGGCAGGGCUUAUUAACUCAGGUAACUUCUACUGUAGUAAAGUAGCAUAGGAUCUACGAAUGUGUCAGACUAUGAUUUAAUAUCCUAAAGCAGGAAAGUAUGGAACAUAAAAGGGUAUUUUCUAUCGUUGGUGAUGGAUUUGUAAGAGCUAUUUAGAGGGUAUAACAUGACAUGAGUAUGGAUUAUAUUAAGGGGACUUCAAGGAUUCUUAUCCGAAGAGGUACCUAAACUCUCUAUUUCACCAUUGAUCGCAUGAUUCUUUGAUCAUUGUAUGUCAACGAUGAUUGUAUUGUAUGUUUAAAAUAAUCUUUGAACUCCAGUGGACGUGUGUCUUGCAUCCGAAGAAACAUUUAUAUCUAAAGACCGAAAUGUGUCUGAAUCAACGUUUAUGUCAUUGUGGUUACUUGAUAUUUUCCACGACCAAACCUAGCUGACCAACUUUGACACCGUAAACCAUAUAGUGUUCGUUCAUUAUCUUUUUGUAAUUCAAACUUAUAAGCUUUUAACUCCAGAGAGUUGUUUUAACUGAUAAAGGCUUUCACUCUUU